AGUGGGUUGCCCAGUUUAGGAUGACUUAAACACUGCUGCAACUCUCCACAAAACCAGGGGAAUGAUAAACUGUAACAUGCCUUGGGUGAGAGCAGGGGUAAGCAUCCCAAUUUGGUGUGAUGGGAAAGCUGGGAAAGACAAGAGUUGGAGAGGGGGUAAGAUGCUGUCUUGAUGGGGUAAGUGUGGUGGUAAGAGUGGGAAGGCAGGUGUUGAAUGGAUGAGCCCUGCUCUGUGGUAGCAGAAUGUGUGACAAAAAGGUGAGGUCAAGGCCACGGCUGGAGAAAUUGUGCCUAUGCAGGAGGCAGGGUGUUGCUAUUGCCAGCCAUGUAUGGCACCAUCUGCCUCUGCCCCCUUGCCAGUGCUGGCAGUUGAGCAAAGGUCUGUGAACAGCAGGUCUAUUGCAGAGCUUUUCUCCUUAUGUAAUAACCAGACCUUGUUUGACACGAUUCUGGUUUUCUGGGGGAUAAUCUUUAAGAGUCCUUCUUGCUUUUUACGUUCCAUUGUUUUUUCUGCAAUCUUCUUCUGCAGGUUUAAAAUGCGUUCAUCUUUCGUGGGCCUUUCACCAGACUGGGACUUUUUCUUUUCUUCUUGCCUGAAAAGUCAAAAAGAUACAAUGAGAAGGAUGCCAUGAUGACAAUAUCUGGAGUAUUUCAAGCCUGACAUGACAUUCUUCA